rnacentral:precursor_RNA from 7 species
CAGACAGCGUGAAGGAGGGCUGCCCUGCAGGUGGGCUGGGAGCACAGGCACUGUGGGCUUCGUGUGGUGCUGUGUCCUCACUCACCUUCAUGGCUUGCAGAAUCGGUAACAGCAUGG